UACGAGGGGUGCAAGCGUUGCUCGGAAUUAUUGGGCGUAAAGGGUAGGUAGGUGGUCUCAUUUGUCUGGGGUGAAAGCCUUGAGCUUAACUCAAGAAGUGCCCCAGAAACGGUGAGACUAGAGUCCUGGAGAGGGUCGUGGAAUUCCCGGUGUAGCGGUGAAAUGCGUAGAGAUCGGGAGGAACACCAGCGGCGAAGGCGGCGACCUGGACAGGUACUGACACUCAACUACGAAAGCGUGGGGGGCGAACAGG
rnacentral:rRNA from 1 species